rnacentral:tRNA from 1 species
GGCCUUGUAAUUCAGUUGGCUAGAGCGUUGGCUGUACUAAAGCCUUCCCCUUGCUGGCGUGGGUUCGAGCCCCACCGAGGCCG